AGUCGCACGAGAAAGGGAUUUCGGUCCUGAGUAAAGUGGCGCACGGGUGAGUAACACGUGACUAAUCUACCCUCGAGUGGGGAAUAACCUAGGGAAACCUGGGCUAAUACCGCAUAACACUUACGAGUCAAAGCAGCAAUGCGCUUGGGGGGGAGGUCGCGGCAGAUUAGCUAGUUGGCGGGGUAAUGGCCCACCAAGGCAAUGAUCUGUAUCCGGCCUGAGAGGGCGCACGGACACACUGGAACUGAAACACGGUCCAGACUCCUACGGGAGGCAGCAGUGGGGAAUUUUGCGCAAUGGGGGAAACCCUGACGCAGCAACGCCGCGUGGAGGAUGAAGUCUCUUGGGACGUAAACUCCUUUCGAUAGGGAAGAUAAUGACGGUACCUAUAGAAGAAGCCCCGGCUAACUUCGUGCCAGCAGCCGCGGUAAUACGAGGGGGGCAAGCGUUGUUCGGAAUUAUUGGGCGUAAAGGGCGCGUAGGCGGUUUGGCAAGUUUCGUGUGAAAUCUUCGGGCUCAACUCGAAGUCUGCACGGAAAACUGCCGGGCUUGAGUAUGGGAGAGGUGAGUGGAAUUUCCGGUGUAGCGGUGAAAUGCGUAGAUAUCGGAAGGAACACCUGUGGCGAAAGCGGCUCACUGGACCAUUACUGACGCUGAGGCGCGAAAGCUAGGGGAGCAAACAGGAUUAGAUACCCUGGUAGUCCUAGCCCUAAACGAUGAUUGUUUGAUGUGGCAGGUACCCAAUCCUGCCGUGUCGAAGCUAACGCGAUAAACAAUCCGCCUGGGGAGUACGGUCGCAAGGCUGAAACUCAAAGGAAUUGAC
rnacentral:rRNA from 1 species